rnacentral:rRNA from 1 species
AGUGAACGCUGGCGGCAGGCCUAAUACAUGCAAGUCGAACGGCAGCACAGUGGAGCUUGCUCCAUGGGUGGCGAGUGGCAGACGGGUGAGGAAUACAUGGGAAUCUGCCCAGUCGUGGGGGAUAACGUAGGGAAACUUACGCUAAUACCGCAUGCGCCCUUCGGGGGAAAGCCGGGGACCUUCGGGCCUGGCGCGAUUGGAUGAGCCCAUGUUCGAUUAGCUAGUUGGCGGGGUAAAGGCCCACCAAGGCGACGAUCGAUAGCUGGUCUGAGAGGAUGAUCAGCCACACUGGGACUGAGACACGGCCCAGACUCCUACGGGAGGCAGCAGUAGGGAAUAUUGGACAAUGGGCGCAAGCCUGAUCCAGCCAUGCCGCGUGAGUGAAGAAGGCCCUCGGGUUGUAAAGCUCUUUUGUCCGGGAAGAAAAGCAUCGGGCUAAUACCUCGGUGUUCUGACGGUACCGGAAGAAUAAGCACCGGCUAACUUCGUG